rnacentral:tRNA from 1 species
GGGGAGGUGGCUGAGUGGACAAAAGCAGCAGACUGUAAAUCUGCCGGCGAAAGCCUACGUAGGUUCGAAUCCUGCCCUCCCCA